UACGUAGGUGGCAAGCGUUAUCCUGAUUUAUUGGGCGUAAAGCGAGCGCAGGUGGUUUAUUAAGUCUGGUGUAAAAGGCAGUGGCUCAACCAUUGUAUGCAUUGGAAACUGGUAGACUUGAGUGCAGGAGAGGAGAGUGGAAUUCCAUGUGUAGCGGUGAAAUGCGUAGAUAUAUGGAGGAACACCGGUGGCGAAAGCGGCUCUCUGGCCUGUAACUGACACUGAGGCUCGAAAGCGUGGGGAGCAAACAGG
rnacentral:rRNA from 1 species